rnacentral:rRNA from 1 species
UACGGAGGGUGCGAGCGUUAAUCGGAAUUACUGGGCGUAAAGUGUGCGCAGGCGGCUUGGCAAGUCGAGUGUGAAAUCCCCGGGCUUAACUUGGGAACUGCAUUUGUGACUGCAUCGCUGGAGUGCGGCAGAGGGGGAUGGAAUUCCGCGUGUAGCAGUGAAAUGCGUAGAUAUGCGGAGGAACACCGAUGGCGAAGGCAAUCCCCUGGGCCUGCACUGACGCUCAUGCACGAAAGCGUGGGGAGCAAACAGG